GACGUAGGGCGCGAGCGUUGUCCGGAUUUAUUGGGCGUAAAGAGCUCGUAGGCGGUUUGUCGCGUCGGCCGUGAAAUCUCCACGCUUAACGUGGAGCGUGCGGUCGAUACGGGCAGACUUGAGUUCGGUAGGGGAGACUGGAAUUCCUGGUGUAGCGGUGAAAUGCGCAGAUAUCAGGAGGAACACCGGUGGCGAAGGCGGGUCUCUGGGCCGAUACUGACGCUGAGGAGCGAAAGCUAGGGGAGCAAACGGG
rnacentral:rRNA from 1 species